UCAAAGCCGAGACAGACAUACCCGAGACAACUCAAAGCCGAUACAGACAUACCCGAGACAACUCAAAGCUGAUACAGACAUACCCGAGACAACUCAAAGCUGAUACAGACAUACCCAUGAUGACUCAAAGCUGAUACAGACAUAAUCAACAACAAAGGCAUAUUACAAAUUAUAAACUGCGUGGUUCGAGCCCUGCAUGCAGAUUGGCUGACAGCCGUAGUAUAUCAGACCAUAUACCAUGGGUAUGACAAAACAGACAUUUUUACUUCUCUAAUUACGUUGGUAAACAGUUUAUAAUAGCGAUAAGGCACCUCGGGGGUUUGUGAGAUAUGGCCAAUGUACCACGGCUGGGGAGUGUCUCCGGGUUGUGCUGUGCCUAAGAACAGCACUUACUCGUGGUAUAUUGGCCAUAUACCACACCCCUUCAUGCCUUAUCGCUGAAGUAUUCUACAAUGUAUUGACUCACGGGUAUGAAUACUUAUGCAAAUUAGCUAUUUCUGUAUUUACAUUUUUUAAAUAAAUUUCCCACAAUUUCUAAAAAACAUUUUUCACUUUGUCAUUAUGAGGUAUUGUGUGGUAAAUAAGGGUGAGAGAAAAAAAUUGAAUCCAUUUUGAAUUCAGGCUGUAACACAACAAAAUGUUGAUUAAGUCAAGGGGUAUGAAUACUUUCUGAAGGCACUAUGUAGUGCUUAUGAAUCUUUCUGUAAGCUAUAAGAAGCCUUUAUGCAUGCUAUAUGAAGGCUCAUAAGGUGUUUUUCAUUUCACACUUUUUUAUAGUAGAUUUAAUGUCAUUGCACUCGCUACAGCCGAUAGGAUUUAGGUGUCCAUAUUUAUUAAACAUUGAUAUAUUCUGUUUAGAUUCAGUUUGAUAUAUUCUGAUUAUAUUACAUUAUACCAUGACAUUGUUGAAUACUGCUUUCUGAUUGGCUUGAAGGGCAUUCAUUAAUUCCCUAUUACGCACUGUAUAUUUGCACGGUAGAAUUAAAUGGCUAUAAUUCUUACAUGUUAUGUGUUUCAGUUGCUUUUGAAAGCUAAAGUUGAAUUGGAAAACAUUGUCAUUGUUGAAUUAGAUUUUCACAAUGGCAAGCUAAGGACUCAUAGUUUGUUUAGCUAAACUUGCAAGUCAUUUUGUACGGUUACCAAAUAUUCAGUAAUUUCUAGCGACAAAUGUGUUAAAUUAUAGCCAUGGUAUGAAAGGAAUAAUCAACUUUAACGUUGUUCAUUCAGUGACUCAUUUCAUUUCACUUCUGCUGUGUGGAACUCUCUCUCUCUGUCUGAUGAUAUAGAUAUAUAUACUCGUUUCAGCUCUCAUGUUCCCCUGGAACUCUGUCUGACAUAACUAGUUAUUUAUAUAUAUUUAUAUAUAGAGAGAGAGUUUCCUUUCUCCCAUGCUGUUUGUGCGUGACCGUGUGUUGUACGAGUGUAUUUGCGUUUCGUAGUAGCAGAUUUAAACCCAGUAAACACACAAAAGAAUUUGCUCAAGCUGAUGACCUAAAUUUCCAUGCCGUGCUCUACUACCCUGUCCCAUAUCAGAUGAGGCACAAGUUAUUAAUACAUUUACUCUGGAUGUGCCACGUUCUCUGCAUACAUUUAGUUGUUGUUGUUGUUGUUCUACACAACGUUAAGAUAUGGUUGAAAUAUUUUGUAUUUUAUAUUUCCUGAUUAACUCUAAUCCUAUUUCUAGGAUUUAUUUAGGGAAACUUGGUGAAUGGUGUAAGUCUAUUUAUAAGCAUCUUAUGGGCUGCGCACUCAAAGACCAAUUUUCUCUCCAAGGUAUUUUGUCUUGGCUGACUUGGUGGAAACUUCUCAGGUGUAGAGUUAAAUGCUAAGUACUAGUUGAUGUAGUGUUUAAUGUGGUGUGUGUGUGGUUGUUAGUAUUUGAUUAGUUUAAGAUAAUCAAGGCUGAGAGGAGGUCUCCAUUUGAAAGGUUACACUUGGAUCAGACCAAACGGUCAGACAUGAUGGGGUCUGGGAUGGAAUUGUGGCAUGGGUGUGUUGAUUAUCUCUUUUACCCACAAUGUUUCAUUUACCAGCCAAAUAUUUCUAUUUAAAAUUAUUAUUAUUUUAAUUUCCUUUGGUGCAAUUUUUACAACUACAUUAUGAAACAUAUUCACCACAAUCAAAUCAGAUCAUAAAAAUGGAU
ensembl:lncRNA